CACGCCCUAAACUAUGUCGACUGGUUGUUGGGGGUUUGACACUCUCAGUAACGAAGCUAACGCGUGAAGUCGACCGCCUGGGGAGUACGGCCGCAAGGUUAAAACUCAAAGGAAUUGACGGGGACCCGCACAAGCGGUGGAUUAUGUGGAUUAAUUCGAUGCAACGCGAAAAACCUUACCUACCCUUGACAUGUCCUGAAUCCUGGAGAGAUCCGGGGGUGCCCGAAAGGGAACGGGAACACAGGUGC
rnacentral:rRNA from 1 species